rnacentral:rRNA from 1 species
UACGUAGGGGGCAAGCGUUAUCCGGAUUUACUGGGUGUAAAGGGAGCGUAGGCGGCGAUGCAAGUCAGAAGUGAAAGCCCGGGGCUCAGCUCCGGGACUGCUUUUGAAACUGUGUUGCUAGAUUGCAGGAGAGGUAAGUGGAAUUCCUAGUGUAGCGGUGAAAUGCGUAGAUAUUAGGAGGAACACCAGUGGCGAAGGCGGCUUACUGGACUGUAAAUGACGCUGAGGCUCGAAAGCGUGGGGAGCAAACAGG